rnacentral:rRNA from 1 species
UACGUAGGGUGCGAGCGUUAAUCGGAAUUACUGGGCGUAAAGCGUGCGCAGGCGGUUAUUUAAGUCUGAUGUGAAAUCCCCGGGCUCAACCUGGGAACUGCAUCUGUGACUGUAUAGCUAGAGUACGGUAGAGGGGGAUGGAAUUCCGCGUGUAGCAGUGAAAUGCGUAGAUAUGCGGAGGAACACCGAUGGCGAAGGCAAUCCCCUGGACCUGUACUGACGCUCAUGCACGAAAGCGUGGGGAGCAAACAGG